AAAACGACUCUCAGCAACUGAUAUCUCAGCUCUUGCAUCGAUGAAGAACGUAGCAAAAUGCGAUACUUGGUGUGAAUUGCAGAAUCCCGUGAACCAUCGAGUUUUUGAACGUAAGUUGCGCCCAAAGCUAUUAAGCCAAGGGCACGUCUACCUGGGCAUCACGCAUCACGUCGCCCC
rnacentral:rRNA from 1 species